rfam:Oryza sativa (indica cultivar-group) chromosome 3, whole genome shotgun sequence.
AAAAAGACAAACCCUAGGUUUCUAUGUCCAACUUUGACUGUCUAUUUUAUAUAAAAUUUUUUUAUAAUUCGUAUUUUCAUUGUUGUUAGAUGAUAAAAUAUGAUUAAUAUUUUAUGCGUGACUUGUCUUUUCAAUUUUUUUUAUAAUUUUUUCAAAUAAGACGGAUGGUUAAACGUUAAACAUAGAAACCAGGGUUUGUCUUUUU